rnacentral:rRNA from 1 species
AGUGAACGCUGGCGGUAGGCCUAACACAUGCAAGUCGAACGGCAGCACAGUAAGAGCUUGCUCUUACGGGUGGCGAGUGGCGGACGGGUGAGGAAUACAUCGGAAUCUACUUUUUCGUGGGGGAUAACGUAGGGAAACUUACGCUAAUACCGCAUACGACCUACGGGUGAAAGCAGGGGAUCUUCGGACCUUGCGCGAUUGAAUGAGCCGAUGUCGGAUUAGCUGGUUGGCGGGGUAAAGGCCCACCAAGGCGACGAUCCGUAGCUGGUCUGAGAGGAUGAUCAGCCACACUGGAACUGAGACACGGUCCAGACUCCUACGGGAGGGAGCAGUGUGGAAUAUUAGACAGUGGGCGCAAGCCUGAUCCAGCCAUACCGCGUGGGUGAAGAAGGCCUUCGGGUUGUAAAGCCCUUUUGUUGGGAAAGAAAAGCAGCAGGUUAAUACCCCGCGGUUCUGACGGUACCCAAUGAAUAAGCACCGGCUAACUUCGUG